AUUCAGCUAACGAGUCCCAAAAGGGACGAAACACGCAUCCUGGAU
rnacentral:hammerhead_ribozyme from 1 species